rnacentral:ncRNA from 14 species
GCCGAUGAUGUCUACUCCCGACUACGACACGCCGUGGGGAUGAGUUGAAGGCAUUUGGCUGAG